rnacentral:rRNA from 1 species
UACGUAGGGGGCAAGCGUUGUCCGGAAUCAUUGGGCGUAAAGAGCGCGUAGGCGGCCCUGUAAGUCCGCUGUGAAAGUCAAGGGCUCAACCCUUGGAUGCCGGUGGAUACUGCAGGGCUAGAGUCCGGAAGAGGCGAGUGGAAUUCCUGGUGUAGCGGUGGAAUGCGCAGAUAUCAGGAGGAACACCUAUAGCGAAGGCAGCUUGCUGGGACGUUACUGACGCUAAGGCGCGAAAAGCGUGGGG